GGAGAGGUGUCUGAGUGGUCUAAAGAGCUUGAUUGCUAAUCAAGUGUGCUUUUAUAGCACCGAGGGUUCAAAUCCCUUCUUCUCCU
rnacentral:tRNA from 1 species